rnacentral:rRNA from 3 species
CUUGACGACCAUAGCGAGGUGGUCCCACCCCUUCCCAUCCCGAACAGGACCGUGAAACACCUCUGCGCCGAUGAUAGUUGAUUAACGUCUGUGAAAGUAGGUCAUCGUCAGGC